UACGUAGGGGGGCAAGCGUUGUCCGGAAUCAUUGGGCGUAAAGAGCGUGUAGGCGGCCCGAUAAGUCCGCUGUGAAAGUCCAGGGCUCAACCCUGGAAUGCCGGUGGAUACUGUCGGGCUCGAAUCCGGAAGAGGUGAGUGGGAAUUCCUGGUGUAGCGGUGAAAUGCGCAGAUAUCAGGAGGAACACCAAUGGCGAAGGCAGCUCACUGGGACGGUAUUGACGCUGAGCGACGAAGACGUGGGGAGCAAACAGG
rnacentral:rRNA from 1 species